rnacentral:rRNA from 1 species
GAUGAACGCUAGCGGCAGGCCUAACACAUGCAAGUCGAGGGAGAAGCCCUUUCGGGGGCAGAAACCGGCUCACGGGUGCGUAACGCGUAUGCAACCUACCUUUCACAGUGGGAUAGCCCGAAGAAAUUUGGAUUAAUACCCCAUAAUAUUAUUGUAUGGCAUCAUUUGAUAAUUAAAACUGCGGUGGUGAAUGAUGGGCAUGCGUCCUAUUAGCUAGUUGGAGUGGUAACGGCACCCCAAGGCUACGAUAGGUAGGGGUCCUGAGAGGGAGGACCCCCACACUGGUACUGAGACAGGGACCAGACGCGUACGGGAGGCAGCAGUGAGGAAUAUUGGUCAAUGGUCGGAAGACUGAACCAGCCAUGCCGCGUGCAGGAAGAAUGCCUUAUGGGUUGUAAACUGCUUUUAUAUGGGAAGAAUAAGGCGUACGUGUACGUUGAUGACGGUACCAAAUGAAUAAGCAUCGGCUAACUCCGUG